rnacentral:rRNA from 1 species
UACGUAGGGUCCGAGCGUUGUCCGGAAUUACUGGGCGUAAAGAGCUCGUAGGUGGUUUGUCGCGUUGUUCGUGAAAACUCACAGCUUAACUGUGGGCGUGCGGGCGAUACGGGCAGACUGGAGUACUGCAGGGGAGACUGGAAUUCCUGGUGUAGCGGUGGAAUGCGCAGAUAUCAGGAGGAACACCGGUGGCGAAGGCGGCAUCCUGGACCGACACUGACGCUGAGGAGCGAAAGCCAGGGGAGCAAACGGG